UACGGGGGGGGCAAGCGUUGUUCGGAAUUACUGGGCGUAAAGGGCUCGUAGGCGGCCAACUAAGUCAUACGUGAAAUCCCUCGGCUUAACCGGGGAACUGCGUCUGAUACUGGAUGGCUUGAGUUCGGGAGAGGGAUGCGGAAUUCCAGGUGUAGCGGUGAAAUGCGUAGAUAUCUGGAGGAACACCGGUGGCGAAGGCGGCAUCCUGGACCAUUACUGACGCUGAGGCGCGAAAGCUAGGGGAGCAAACGGG
rnacentral:rRNA from 1 species